CCACACCACCACCAUCACCAGCCCCAUCACCACCCAAAACACUGACCCAAGUACCACCACCACCACCACCACCCAAACCACCACUCUGGUAGGAGGAGGUGAGCCCGGGGCUCUGAGCUCAGGAAGCAUCGCGGUGAUCAUCUCCGUGUUCAUCGCGGCCGGCCUCCUCGCGGUCGUUGGUGUUUACUACUUCAAAAUACGACAUCGAUCUUACGGCCCUCUUCAGGACAACAACAGCCUCAACACUUUGGUCAACUUCAGCAACCCGAUGUACGACCUAUGAUUCCCUAAUAUUGACCCCAGAGCCCUCCAGAAGUGACCCCCUGACCCCAGAGUCAUCCAGAAGUGACGCCCCUGACCCCAGAGCCCUCCAGAAGUGACCCCCUGACCCCAGAGCCCUCCAGAAGUGACGCCCCUGACCCCAGAGUCAUCCAGAAGUGACGCCCCUGACCCCAGAGCCCUCCAGAAGUGACCCCCUGACCCCAGAGUCCUCCAGAAGUGACCCCUUGACCUUAAGCCCUCCGAGUUCGACCGGAGACAUUCAGAGUGCGUUUUUAAGUUCAGUGCCUGAUCGCUUGAUUGCCAAAAUGUGAAAGAAAAUGGGAAGUUUUCUAUUAAUCUUUGUGAAAGUAGCCUAAUUUUAUAUUUUUAUAACAGGAUGUUUUUUUACAGUUAAUAAGUACAGAGGCUAAGAGUUGUAUUAGAUGAGGGAGACUUGUCUCAAGAGACUUGAGGUUCCUUUUCUCCUAAAUCAAACCGUGAAGUGACGAGACGUCGUUAGAAGUCGAUGAACGCUCCGAUAUUUACCUGAAUCUUGCCGGGCGGACAAAGUUCAGAUCAGAGGAGACGAAGAGUCAGCCGUUUUAAAAAAGGGCUAAAAGGAGGAGGAGGCCGUUAUUAUGGCAAAAGAAACAAAAAGUAAAUGAUGAUGUCAUACCUUCUUGUGCUUGAUCCUGAAUCUUGAAAAGAGUUUGAACCGUUGUUGAGGAGGAGCGGCAGAGCCGAGCUUCACGAGAGGCGUGAGAACUUCUCUGGGAGUCGUGACAACUAAUGAUAUUUUUAAGAAAGAUAUUUGUUUCAUUCAUUUUCAAAUGAAGUGUAUUUAUGAGUGAGUUUUUAAUGAUUGUCCGUGGUGAGUGAGACAUUUUUAUUCGUGUUUCAGUGUGUUUGGCUUUGACAGCAUUGAAUUGUGGGAUAUGAUUGUGUUCAAUUGUUGUGCAAUAAAAGGGAUCUUUUGGGGAUCUUCUGACAUGAG